rnacentral:rRNA from 1 species
UCUGGGAUUAGAUACCCUGUUAUUUAAAAUGUAAUUUUAAAAACUUAGGUAGUAGUAGUUAUGUUCUUUAAACUUAAAAAAUUUGGCGGUAUUUUAGUCUAUUCAGAGGAACCUGUUUUGUAAUCGAUAAUCCACGAUGGACCUUACUUAAUUUUGUAAUCAGUUUAUAUACCGUUGUUAUUAGAAUAUUUUAUAAGAAUGUUAAUGUUCAUAAUUUUUAUAAAAAAGUAUAUCAAAUCAAGGUGUAGCUUAUAUUUAAGUAUAAAUGGGUUACAAUAAAAUUAUUUAUGCGAAUAUAAAUUUGAAAUGUUUAUUAAAGAUGGAUUUGAUAGUAAAAUUAUAAAGAUUAAUAAUUUGAUUAAAGCUCUAAAAUAUGUACAAAUCGCCCGUCACUCUCU